rnacentral:rRNA from 1 species
CGACGUGAGUAACCUGCCUUGGAGUGGGGAAUAACACAGUGAAAACUGUGCUAAUACCGCAUAAUGCAUUUGGGUCGCAUGAUUCUGAAUGCCAAAGAUUUAUCGCUCUGAGGUGGACUCGCGUCUGAUUAGCUAGUUGGCGGGGUAACGGCCCACCAAGGCGACGAUCAGUAGCCGGACUGAGAGGUUGGCCGGCCACAUUGGGACUGAGACACGGCCCAG